UAUCGGGAAACCAAAGCUUUUGUGUUCCGGGGGGAGUACAUUCGCAAGGCUGAAACUUAAAGGAAUUGACGGAGAACCACCACCAGGCGUGGAGUGUGUGGCUUAAUUCGACUCAACACGGGAAAUUUUACCAGGCCAGGACGUGAUUAUGAUUGCCGGAUUGAUAGACCUUGCAUGAUUUCGCGAAGGGUGGUGCAUGGCCGCUUCUGGUUGGUGAAGUGAUUUGUCUGCUUAAUUGCGAUAACGAACGAGAUCUCUGCCAAUUAAUAGAUGGUCGCUCCGUUGUAAGUAUCUGGCCACCGUUGAGGUUUCGGCUGAUUCGGAUGGUGGGACAGCUGUCCCUAAAUAGGUACUGAGGAGGUGACAGAAAAGCCCUUCUGGGUGUUUACUUAUUGGGAUUAUGCAAUCUUCCAAUUGCAUUGAAACAAGAGCCCAAAGCAGGUCUGUGAUGCUCCUUAAAUGUCCUGGGCUGCACGCGCACUACACUGAUUCAGCCAACGAGCUUCUGCUGGGAACAUGCUUCUGUAUGUUCACAGCAGCCUUGUCCGAAGGGAUCGGGGAAUCUUUUGAAACUGAGUCGUGAUGGGGAUUGAUGCUUGUAAUUAUUCUCCAUGAACGAGGAAUGCCUUGUACUCGCGUCUCAUCAGGACGCAAGGAAUAUGUCCCUGGUUCUUGUACACACCGCCCGUCGCUAUCUGUGAUGGAUUUCACGUAGAGCACUUUGGAGGUUUGAUUUAGGGGCAACUCUACUUCUGCCAAAGUUGUGCAAUACUUGGAAUCUAGAAGAGAUAGAAGUCGUAACAAGGUUCCUGUAGGUGAACCUGCAGAAGGAUCAA
rnacentral:rRNA from 1 species